CGAUUGCUGUGCCUGGCCUGUGGGAUGCGUGGCAGCAGCUCUGAGGUGUGCAGGGGUGAGCCUCCGUGCCAGCUUUGCUCUGGAGUCUAGCAGUGGAGAAAACUAGGACUGUGUUUGCUGACUUUUCCUCCCACACCAAGGUUACCUUGCAGAUUCCCUGUUCUGCCCCCAGUGAUUACGAUGUUGAAGAGCCUUUGGCAUAGAGAGGAGUCUGAGGCCUGACAGUGAGAUUUCCCUGACAGUGGAGGCGUCCCGUCUGGCGGUCGGGCUGGGUCUUGGUGGUAGAGCAUGCGCCUAACUUGGCCAAGGUCUGGGUUUGAUUCCCAGGACCACAGAGUGCAUCUCCACCAGUAUUGGCAGGAAGUCUGUUGUGUGGCCCAGGGAACCAGGAGAACAGGUCCUCAUGGUGGUUGCCCCAUGGAAUCUAGGGUCCCUUGACGGAUGCAGGUACCAACCACAUCGCGAGCAGUGUGGCUGGUGGGUUAAAACUGUGAUAGACCUCAAAUGAACGUCACAGGCCCUGUCAGAUUAUCGGCAGGUGAAACAGCCUCACCACCACGUAGCUAGACGGAGAAACAGAGGCCCAGGAGGGGCGAGUGUGGUCCCAGUGGGCACUGCAGGGAUGGGCGCUGCGUCAGGGUUACAGGAGCUGUCGGGGGGGCUGUCUUCCACUCAAAGGCCCUGAGGCCAUGGCUAGCCCCUGGAACUUGGUCAGCGGAUGCCAUUGGUUGUGUGAUUGAAGGCCGUAACUGGUGCUGGGCCUUGCCACAGAAACAAGCACCCAGGACCUGGCUGUCCAUUUCCUCAUCUGCAAAACCGCAACAGGCCUAACUUCCUACCACGGCCACAGAAAAGGGCAGAUUCCACAAUGGACACAAACAGGUUGGCUUGGUAAAAUGGGUUGAAGCAGAUUUGCCCCGCGCCUGCGGUGGUGCUCUCCUGGGAGCAGUUCUGAUGGACAGUGUCUUGUUUGUUUGUUUUAGAUUUGUUCCUUAUAUUGGAAUUGUGACAAUCCUCAUGAAUGACUACCCCAAAUUCAAGUACGCAGUACUGUUUUUGCUGGGCUUAUUCGUGCUGGUCCACCGUGAGUAAGAAGCGAGCCUCGCCGUUCGUUCCGGGAAGCCGCGUGCUGUGUCCUGGCUGUCUGCAGUAGAUGUUGGUCUGUGGUUGGUGGAGAGGAGCACACGGGGUGCUUCUUGGAGCACUGUGCGCGUUAUUAGUUUAUGUUUCCACGCCAGAAUGCGUGUGGGCGGGCACGUGGGCGCCAUGCGUGCCCGCGAGGGGACGUCCAGUCAUGGGACUUCACACCUUGUCAUCGCCCCACUCACAUUUUGUACAUCCGUGGAUCUUUUUAUAUUAAACGGUUGAGCCAAAGCCCCCAGUGUUUGUAUUGCGAAGCCCAGCUUCACUUCUAAAGUGCCUCAGCGUGCUGUACACGGAAGUGCAGCUCUGCAGAGUGGACCACUGUCCCGCGGUGCCGCGCGCGUCCAUGAGGGUGGCGCCAAGUCUUAACUUUUCCAAUUUCAAAUAAAAGACUUUGCACAUUUAA